rnacentral:tRNA from 1 species
GUUUUUGUAGUUGAAUACAACGGUAGUUUUUCAAGCUAUAAGUCUAGGUUAAAGCCCUAGCAGAAAUA